rnacentral:rRNA from 1 species
AACGAACGCUGGCGGCAGGCCUAACACAUGCAAGUCGAACGCCCGUAGCAAUACGGGAGUGGCAGACGGGUGAGUAACGCGUGGGAACGUGCCCUUCGGUUUGGAAUAACUCAGGGAAACUUGAGCUAAUACCAAAUACGUCCGUAAGGAGAAAGAUUUAUCGCCGAAGGAUCGGCCCGCGUCGGAUUAGCUAGUUGGUGAGGUAACGGCCCACCGAGGCGACGAUCCGUAGCUGGUCUGAGAGGAUGAUCAGCCACACUGGGACUGAGACACGGCCCAGACUCCUACGGGAGGCAGCAGUGGGGAAUAUUGGACAAUGGGCGAAAGCCUGAUCCAGCCAUGCCGCGUGAGUGAAGAAGGCCUUAGGGUUGUAAAGCUCUUUCAGC